rnacentral:rRNA from 1 species
UGCCAGCCGCCGCGGUAAUACGGAGGGUGCAAGCGUUAUUCGGAAUCACUGGGCGUAAAGAGCAUGUAGGCGGGUAAAUAAGUCAGAUGUGAAAUCCUAUGGCUCAACCAUAGAACUGCAUUUGAAACUGUUUACCUAGAAUAUGGGAGGGGCAGAUGGAAUUAGUGGUGUAGGGGUAAAAUCCGUAGAGAUCACUAGGAAUACCGAAAGCGAAGGCGAUCUGCUGGAACAUUAUUGACGCUAAGAUGCGAAAGCGUGGGGAGCAAACAGGAUUAGAUA